rnacentral:lncRNA from 1 species
GCCUUUGUAAAUUGAGAAACUGUAUUACUUAUAGCAUGAAAAAUAACCACAUCACAAAACUCGAGCAAGAAGCGUGUCACGCACGUGCUUAGCAGUGUCACGCCACACACGUCUAAUACCCUCACACUCAUGCUUGUGAUCACGUGCAAAAUCAGGUUUUGAUUGACAGAAGGAAGACCCAGAAAGGGUUUUAUUCCGUCAACUAGGAAGCGCUGAAUGCUUUUGAGAUUUUAGUGACAUUUAAUUGUUCUAACCUCAUGGAACUGAUCUGAAGUGUUUUAAGGAGAUUCUUUUAGAACUGCAAGCUGGAAAACCAGAUGCUUUGGCAGGCGAUAAAGGAGAAAAAUUAGAUCAGCCACAAUAUUCACAGACUGGGAUGGAAAGGAAAGCACUUGCUGUAUUUGGAAUACUAAUAUUAAUCACAGUCGCUGUACUUUUAACGGACGCUCAAAAACGUCGCUCGAAGAGACCGCCAUGGUACGCAAGACGGUUUACCCGACGUAAGCCAACAAAAGCUAUGCCCGGAGGGAGUAGUGGUGUACAAAUCAAUCCUGUCAGGCCGGCACAAAAUGACAAUCCAAACGAACAACAAGAUUUUGAUAGCCCGGAGGACGCUCAAGAAUAUUGGAGAGUUAUUUAUGAAAAUGGGGAUAUAUCUCAACCUUCGGAGCCUGGAUUUUGACGGGAACGGACAACUGUUAAAUUAUAAGUGGUUAUAAAUAUAUUAUAGUUUUGUAAAAGUUGUAAAUUUAUUGCAUUAAAUUAUAAUAAUAAAAAAUUGACUGCUAUUGAAUUAAUUUCUGUUACGUACUUGCCUUCCUUAACUACGGAUAUUUUUUUCCCAAAUUCAUUGCAUGUAAGGUAUUUGGAUUCGUGGGCACUUAAGCUAAAAUGAUAUUCAGAUUCCUAACCACUCCUU